UAUACCGUGAAACUGCGAAUGGCUCAUUAAAUCAGUUAUCGUUUAUUUGAUAGUACCUUACUACUUGGACAACCGUGGUAAUUCUAGAGCUAAUACAUGCUAAAAACCUCGACUUCGGAAGGGGUGUAUUUAUUAGAUAAAAAACCAAUGCCCUUUCGGGGCUCUUUGGUGAUUCAUGAUAACUUAACGGAUCGCAUGGCCUUGCGCCGGCGACGGUUCAUUCAAAUUUCUGCCCUAUCAACUUUCGAUGGUAAGGUAUUGGCUUACCAUGGUGUCAACGGGUAACGGGGAAUUAGGGUUCGAUUCCGGAGAGCGAGCCUGAGAAACGGCUAGCACAUCCAAGGAAGGCAGCAGGCGCGCAAAUUACCCAAUGCCAACAGUGGCGAGGUAGCGACAAUAAAUACUGAUACAGGGCUCUUUUGGGUCUUGUAAUCGGAAUGAGUACAAUUUAAAUCUCUUAACGAGGAACAAUUGGAGGGCAAGUCUGGUGCCAGCAGCCGCGGUAAUUCCAGCUCCAAUAGCGUAUAUUAAAGUUGUUGCAGUUAAAAAGCUCGUAGUUGAACUUUGGGCCUGGCUGGCCGGUCCGCCUCACCGCGAGUACUGGUCCGGCCGGGCCUUUCCUUCUGGAGAUCCGCAUGCCCUUCACUGGGCGUGUUGGGGACCCAGGACUUUUACUUUGAAAAAAUUAGAGUGUUCAAAGCAGGCCUUUGCUCGAAUACGUUAGCAUGGAAUAAUAGAAUAGGAUGUGCCGUCUUAUUUUGUUGGUUUCUAGGACAGCCAUAAUGAUUAAUAGGGAUAGUCGGGGGCAUCAGUAUUCAAUUGUCAGAGGUGAAAUUCUUGGAUUAAUUGACGACUAACUACUGCGAAAGCAUUUGCCAAGGAUGUUUUCAUUAAUCAGUGAACGAAAGUUAGGGGAUCGAAGACGAUCAGAUACCGUCGUAGUCUUAACCGUAAACUAUGCCGACUAGGGAUUGGGCGAUGUUUUUAUCUUGACGCGCCCAGCACCUUACGAGAAAUCA
rnacentral:rRNA from 1 species